rnacentral:rRNA from 1 species
CUGCCGGCGACCGGCGCACGGGUGAGUAACACGUAUGGAACCUGCCCGCAGCAGGGGGAUAAGCGGAAGAAAUUCCGUCUAAUACCGCGUAACAACGUUGGGAGGCAUCUCCCGAUGUUUAAAGAUUUAUCGGCUGCGGAUGGCCAUGCGGCGCAUUAGCUAGUCGGCGGGGUAACGGCCCACCGAGGCGACGAUGCGUAGGGGUUCUGAGAGGAAGGUCCCCCACAUUGGAACUGAGACACGGUCCAAACUCCUACGGGAGGCAGCAG